CACGUAGGGGGCAAGCGUUGUCCGGAUUUAUUGGGCGUAAAGAGCUCGUAGGCGGUUCGGUAAGUCGGGUGUGAAACCUCCAGGCUCAACCUGGAGACGCCACCCGAUACUGCUGUGACUAGAGUCCGGUAGGGGAGCGUGGAAUUCCUGGUGUAGCGGUGAAAUGCGCAGAUAUCAGGAGGAACACCGGUGGCGAAGGCGGAUCUCUGGGCCGAUACUGACGCUGAGGAGCGAAAGCGUGGGGAGCGAACAGG
rnacentral:rRNA from 1 species